rnacentral:misc_RNA from 1 species
AGUAAUUUUGUCAGUUCUUGCUGCUUCUUGAAGGCUGUCUUAUAUGCUAUGGUCUCCAAACCAAUUGACAUGUUCCAUCAACGUUAAAAAAAACCUGUUUGAAGAGUUUUUCAGGGGAUUAAUCAUCCCUUUUCUUCGUUUCUCUAAUCCCAUUUCCCCAUUGUGUUUUGGGUUUAUUGCAGGUCAGGCUUUUGGCCUCUUUCACA